rnacentral:misc_RNA from 1 species
GUUGAAGAACGUAGCGAAAUGCGAUACUUGGUGUGAAUUGCAGAAUCCCGUGAACCAUCGAGUCUUUGAACGCAAGUUGCGCCCGAAGCCAUCAGGUUGAGGGCACGUCUGCCUGGGCGUCACAUAUCGUUGCCCAAUGCCUAUUGCAGUGCAAUAGGAAUUUCUAGGGCGAAUGAUGGCUUCCCGUGAGCGUUGUUGCCUCGCGGUUGGUUGAAAAUCGAGUCCUUGGUAGGGUGUGCCAUGGUAGAUGGUGGUCGAGUUAGAACGAUACCGAUCAUGUGCAUGCUCCCCAAAAUAUGGCCUCUAUGACCCACACGCGUCUUUUGACGCUCAUGACGAGACCUCAGGUCAGGCGGGGCUACCCGCUGAAUUUAAGCAUAUCAAUAAGCGGAGGA